rnacentral:rRNA from 1 species
GACGAACGCUGGCGGCGUGCUUAACACAUGCAAGUCGAACGGAAAGGCCCGGCUUUUGUGGGGUGCUCGAGUGGCGAACGGGUGAGUAACACGCGAGGAACCUGCCCUUGACUUUGGGAUAACGUCAGGAAACUGGGGCUAAUACCGGAUAGGAGCUCCUGCUGCAUGGUGGGGGUUGGAAAGUUUCGGCGGUUGGGGAUGGACUCGCGGCUUAUCAGCGUGUUGGUGGGGUAGUGGCUUACGAAGGCUUUGACGGGUAGCCGGCCUGAGAGGGUGACCGGCGGCAUUGGGACUGAGAUACGGCCCCGUCUCCUACGGGCGGCAGCAGUCGGGAGUCUUGCACGAUGGGCUGAAGCCUGAUGCAGCAGCGCCGCGUGCGGGAUGACGGGCUUCGGGUUGUAAACCGCUUUCGCCUGUGACGAAGAGUGCGUGACGGUAAUGGGUCAAGAAGCACCGGCUAACUACGUG